rnacentral:rRNA from 1 species
GGGCCCGCACAAGCGGUGGAGCAUGUGGUUUAAUUCGAUGAUACGCGAGGAACCUUACCAGGGCUUAAAUGCAGAACGACCGGCGUGGAAACAUGCCUUUCUUCGGACGGACUGCAAGGUGCUGCAUGGUCGUCGUCAGCUCGUGCCGUGAGGUGUCGGGUUAAGUCCCAUAACGAGCGCAACCCCUAUCUUUAGUUGCCAGCGGAUAAUGCCGGGGACUCUAGAGAAACUGCCAGCGUAAGCUGUGAGGAAGGUGGGGAUGACGUCAGAUCAUCACGGCCCUUACGUCCUGGGCUACACACGUGCUACAAUGGCAAGGACAAUGAGCUGCCAACCCGCGAGGGUGAGCAAA